rnacentral:rRNA from 1 species
AUUGAACGCUGGCGGCAGGCUUAACACAUGCAAGUCGAGCGGAGAUGAGGUGCUUGCACCUUAUCUUAGCGGCGGACGGGUGAGUAAUGCUUAAGAAUCUGCCUAUUAGUGGGGGACAACAUUCCGAAAGGAAUGCUAAUACCGCAUACGUCCUACGGGAGAAAGCAGGGGAUCUUCGGACCUUGCGCUAAUAGAUGAGCCUAAGUCGGAUUAGCUAGUUGGUGGGGUAAAGGCCUACCAAGGCGACGAUCCGUAGCGGGUCUGAGAGGAUGAUCAGCCACACUGGGACUGAGACACGGCCCAGACUCCUACGGGAGGCAGCAGUGGGGAAUAUUGGACAAUGGGGGGAACCCUGAUCCAGCCAUGCCGCGUGUGUGAAGAAGGCGUUAUGGUUGUAAAGCACUUUAAGCGAGGAGGAGGCUACUGAGACUAAUACUCUUGGAUAGUGGACGUUACUCGCAGAAUAAGCACCGGCUAACUCUGUGCCAGCCGCCGCGGUAAGAC